rnacentral:rRNA from 1 species
UACGUAGGGACCGAGCGUUGUCCGGAAUCAUUGGGCGUAAAGAGCGUGUAGGCGGCCUGUUAAGUCUUGCGUGAAAUCUCGGGGCUCAACCCCGAGCGGUCGUGAGAAACUGGCAGGCUAGAGUGCGGGAGAGGAGAGUGGAAUUCCUGGUGUAGCGGUGAAAUGCGCAGAUAUCAGGAAGAACACCCGUGGCGAAGGCGGCUCUCUGGAACGCAACUGA